rnacentral:rRNA from 1 species
GACGUAGGGCGCGAGCGUUGUCCGGAUUUAUUGGGCGUAAAGAGCUCGUAGGCGGCUCAUUGCGUCGUGCGUGAAAACCCGUAGCUCAACUGCGGGCUUGCGUACGAUACGGGUGGGCUGGAGUUCGGUAGGGGAGACUGGAAUUCCUGGUGUAGCGGUGAAAUGCGCAGAUAUCAGGAGGAACACCGGUGGCGAAGGCGGGUCUCUGGGCCGAUACUGACGCUGAGGAGCGAAAGCGUGGGGAGCGAACAGG